AGGGUCAGCAUGCACAGGGCUCUGCCCAAGCACAGAACUGGACUGGACAGCUCCUGCCUUACACCCCGAGGGUAGGAGCCCAAAGCCAUAAAGAGGCAGAGAGUCCCUCCUUGGCCUUGCCCCUGGCCCCUGAGGCUGCAGUGUCUUUUAGGAAGAGACUGCUUUCUUUAAGUGGUAAAAAUGUCAUGGCUGACCUUGAGCGUAACUUCCCACUGUAUUCCACACGCAGGCCUUUCAGCAGCCCGGGCCGAGGGGCUGCCCAGCAGAGGGAUUCAGAAGCCCACUCGGCUGGCUCCUGGGAGCUGGGCUGGAUUAACAGUUCCUCCAGGCCAGCACGGGAGAGCACAUUCAGAUUUAUGGCCCGUCUACAUGGUAGCCUCAGAUGGAAACCAGAUGUGCCUAUGAUUUCUUGCACAAGUUGCAGUUUUUAUCCUAGCUUCAAAAGGCAUGAAUUCUGACUUUGAAGCUUCUUGGUGACCUUGGGUGACUUGUGGGAUUUCUCAGUGGCUUGUAUUCUCCAUCCACAGAAGAGGGCUGCAGCUGUGCAAUUGUCCGGAGCCAGGUCGUAUUUUGCUUCCUGUUUUGCUCUUCUGCACAAGGUACUCUGGCUAUUUUGUGCUCUGAGAUGAAUCUGACUCUCUUCCUCCAGGUCUGUGGAGAGUGUCACUGUGUGUUGAUGGCAGUGCAUCUGUGGAUUGCUUUGGGUAUUGUGGACCUUUGGACAAUAUGAAUCCUGCCAAUCCACGAACAGGGGACGUCUAGUUUUUGUUCUCUUCAGGUUCCUUCAACAAUGUUUUAUAGUUUUUAUUAUAGAGAUCUUUCACCUCUUUGUUUAAAUUUGUUACUAGUUUUUUUAAAAAUCUAUAAUAAAUGGAAUUUCUUUCUAGCUAACUUUUUCAGAUAAUUCAAAAUUAAUCAGAAAUACCACUGAUUUUUUAAUAUGCUGAUUUUGUUUCGUACAACUUGGCUGAAUUCAUGUAUCAGUUCUAAUAACCUUUUGAUGGAUUCAUUGAUCUUGUCAAAUGGAUAACAUAGAAAGAACUGGAAUAAGCACUGAAAGACAAAUGUCACAGGAUCUCGUCACUGGAGAUCUAGAGAAGCUGAGAGUGGAAUAGUAAUUGCCAGGGGCCCGGGAAGGGUGGGGAGAGACUGGUCAGCAGUACAGUGGGGGGUAAGUGCUGGAGUCCUGCUGCACAGCAGGUGGACGCAGACGUGACAGUGCACUGCAUAUUUCAAAAUCUGAAGAGACAGACAUGCUUACCCAGAAUUGAACAUUACACAAUGUCUGUGUGUGUCAAAAUAUCACACAGUACCCCAUAGACAUACUUGAUUUUGUGUGACAAUUUUUUUUACAAAUUCAGAAAUCAUUCUACUCCUUCUUUUCUUACCACCCACAUAUUUCAGUGCAUACCCACCCACAUGACUAACAAUUUCUUCCUGGAAAAGACUUCAGAAAAACAGAAAAGAAAUGCUGUUUUACAUAUAGAUGUGUAUGUUAUGAGAAUCCAUCGAUUAAAGAAAACAGUGAAUACUGUGUAUCGUAGCUUCUUAAAAAACUUCAGAUGUCCGUGUCUGAAAGUGUCUCCAGGAAGGUUGGGGCUCGAAGAGCUUCAUGUCACUGCUCCAGAAGAGAAGUGAAGAGAGACUCACUCUGUGCCCUAAAAUAACGUGAAUCGGUGACUUUACAGGAUUAAGUGUCGGUUAGCGACUCACACAGGACCACACGUUUGUUGAUCAGGCAAAGCUAAGUGUGUGAAGGCACCGCAGCAGGGCGACGUCCACUCGGCAUCUUAGUUACUGGGUCAGAAGCGGGACGAAAUUGUAGGUUAGCGAGACUCCUUCAAUGUGAAAAUUGAUUGGAACUGGAAAAGGCUUAUAAUGUGAUGAUCAAGUGUGUGGACACAGAGAAGUGCAAGGUCGAAGUGUGUCAUCCUAAGAGCUCUUCCACUCGGCAGCUGGACAUUUUGCUCAGGUCACCAACGUGUUGAUCUGAGAGAAGUCUGACAAACUGUUGCUCUGAGUCAACUGGUCUACAGAAUUUUCUUGAACCAAACGCUAAAGUUACAUCUAAAAUGUCACUUUAAGGUGAGUACAACACCCGGGAAACCCACUCAUCAUCACAAGGCACUGGAACCCAGAGCCUGGCCAGCGUCCAAAGAAAGUAAGAACAAAACUCAGAGUCUCUCUGGUUAUUUGCACUAGAACGAGCGUGAGAAUGUUGAAACCAGGAAUCAGGUUGAAAACGCGAGGUGGCGGGAGAGACAAGGUCAGGACAGGAACAUGUCGCCAGCUCCGUCAGGAGGCUGAGAGGCUUGAACAUCCCAGAACCCAUGCCAGCAAGGAGUUGAGAGGAGACUCAGGAAAACGGGCAACAGAGGCAUUUGGAUGAGGCCACGGAUCUUUAGAUCCGGUCCCUGCCAAGGUCCGGUGGGUUUUGGUGGAAGCUGCCUACACCUCCAUUGGCUCCUUCAUCUGAAGCACGCUGUCCUGUCUGCUGCAAGUGGUCUCACCAGGACUCCUCUCCUGCCCCGGGGUGUGGCUCACAACCCUGCUGCACAUUUCCUCAUGAAUGAUGAUGCAGGUGUCCCUGGGUCUAAUUUAGCUGCCAGGCUGGGGGUCCUUGGCAGUGCCUAGGGUCCUUCAGCAGGUUUAGGCAUUUCUUAUCGUUUUCUUAAAUGACAGCAUUUUGAGGCUGGGGUCUAGCAGAAGUUUCCAAGGGGGAACUGGGGCGAGGCGGGUUGUCCCUAUUGGCUGUGAGACUGUCAUAAGGCAUGAACACAUGCUCCAUGUAGCUGGAAACUGCAGGGACAGAUACCUUACAUAACAGUGACAUCUGUGACAGUUCUCUAUAACGAGGGUUUGUGGCAGCCAGAAUGUGGACUCGGGCUGGCGAGAGGGAACUGUCCUCACUGGGGUCACCUGGGAUGGCAGCGACCCAGUGGCUUUGAAGGUGAGGUGGUGCCCAGCCUCUGGUGACAGCCACCAGACUGCAGACGGCGCUCAUCCCUUGUCCCGGCACUGGGAACAAGCAUGAUCCUGUUAACUUAGGUUUUCUUUCUGUUUUUUAUUUGUGUGUUUCUGUAGCUGUGAAUCUCUGACCGCUAACAGUGCCUGGGAAAAUCCAACAGUGAGCAGGACGCAGUGGACACUCACUGUACGUGUGGUUAUCUGGACGACAUAGGGGCUAGGGGCCAGCUGCCCUUCCAUCUUCUGCCUUCUGCGGCUCAGCAUGAACCUGCUGCAACACCUCGUCCUGCAACGGCAGCGAGGGUCCUCGUCCAGGCUGAGAGGAGGCCACUCCUGCUGUGCAGAGCAAGUCCUGUGAAGCGCUGUGCGAGGUUCCACCUGGGUCCUCGGGCACCCCGACCCGUCACAGGGCCGCCUGCAGUUCGCCACCAGAUUCUGCACAGCACUCCUGAUACCAAAGCCAGACCAGUAUACAGAUUCACGGUAUAGAGAGGACACAUGUCACCGUCCUCGUCCCGUCUCGCCAUCCCUGGAUUCCUGGGUUCUUUCUUACCCUUUGACUCCAGUGAGUGCUGCUCUGGUGGUCCUGAGGCUCAGCACCAGGACAGGACGGUGCCGCUGGGCCUCCGACGUGGCCGUGGGGACCCGCGGCUGGCUCCUCUCCCUGCCAAGUGGCUCUCACUGUGUGAAAGCACCGUGGUUCCUGGGUCCAUCUGUGCUGAAGGACGACGGGCUGUCUGUGGCAAGAGGCAGUGGGGAAAGCUGUGGUGGGCUCUGCAGAGGCCUGUGGUGGGUGGCAGGAGCUCUCCGCCCACUCGGGAGCACGUGGGGAGUGUGUCCAGGCCUUCGGGAGAAGCUGACACGUGCCAACCAGGUGCAGUGCCCCCUGAGCUGAGGAUGAGCGUCCUGUGGUCCGCAGACACGCCAGUCAGGAGCGAGGGACACCGAGGAAGCACUGGGCCAAGGGUGACAUGCAGGUGGCACCUGCAGCUCCAAGCCAUCUUGUCUGUGAUUCACAGAAGACUUUGCAGGACUCCAGAUAUCGGUUGGAGGGACAGUCCCUCCGUGGACCAGGCUCGGGCGGGUCUACAGGCUCCUCUCCUGCCCGUGCCUUGUGCUGUGUGGAACUUUCUCCGGGAGUCUUGACGUCUGCCCUUCUGCAUGGGGGCUACAAUACCUGGAGGGUCCCCACCUGCCCGGUGAGCAGGUAUAGGCCAGGGCUCCUUCUUGGGCACGUGAACCCCCGCUGUUUCCACACCAUUAUUUAUAAGGCUCUUUUUCCAUGAAAACGCCUGCCCUUCGCAAUUCCCUUGUCCACAGCGGUGUGAGUCUGUUCCUGGAUUCUGUCUCCCCCGUGGCCCAUGUGUCCACCGUAACCACAGUGCCACGCUGUAUUUAUUACUGUGGCUGAAGGUCAGUCUGGAAAUUGGGUCACGUGAGCUACAGAAACUUGUUUUUCCAAAAUGGAUUUGGUUUUUCUUUGUUUUAUCCUUCCAGAAUGAUUGUGGCUGUUCUAAUUCCUUCCCCUUUCUACUAGAAGUUUAGACUCAGUUCGUUGAUUUCUACCGGGAAGACCUGCUGGGAUUUGGUGGGGGGACACUGUGGCCGGGGACAGCGCAGGCCUGGGAACCCUGAGCCCCGACUGUGCAUGACUCGAUUUCUUCAGGCUCUUUCUCCUUCUUACACUGAUGCUCUGGAGACUUGGGCACAGAAAUCCUGGACGCAUUGGCUGUAUUCUAGCUGAUCAUCCACUUGUUCCAGAGCCGUUGAAAAUGGUGUUUUAAAUUCUAAAUGCUCGUUUCUGGCAUAGACGUGUUUUGGUUUUUACAUAAACUGUUUAAUUUCUGGCA